rnacentral:rRNA from 1 species
UACGAAGGGGGCUAGCGUUGUGCGGAAUCACUGGGCGUAAAGCGCACGUAGGCGGAUUCCUAAGUCGGCGGCGAAAUCCUGGAGCUCAACUCCAGAACUGCCUCCGAUACUGAGAGUCUUCGAGUCCGGGAGAGGUGAGUGGAACUGCGAGUGUAGAGGUGAAAUUCGUAGAUAUUCGGAAGAACACCAGUGGCUAAGGCGGCUCACUGGUCCGGUACUGACGCUUAGGUGCGAAAGCGUGGGGAGCAAUCAGG